GCCCGGAGCAGGCUGGCAUCCUAGACCCUCUGCCCUGCCAACAACACAACAACAGCCGGGGAGUGGACCUGACCCCGGAACUCCCGAAAUUUCCUGAAGACGGUUCCGCUCCCUGCCUCGCCCUUCCAGGCAGCCCAGCAGUUUCGCCCUGCGGAGGGAAGCCUUUCUGUUCUCAAAUCUCUCGUGCUGGGGAGACAGUGGAGCUAGGGCGGCUAGUUUCCCCUUGUAAUUGUGACACCUUGUCUCCUCGAGCUGCAGGCUAAUGCUUGUCGUGUUCGUAGUUUGAUUUCUCGCAGAUCAACAAAGGGCCGGUGGCCUCUCUCGGCCUCCGCGGGAGGGUUGCCAG
rnacentral:lncRNA from 1 species